UACGAGGGGGGCGAGCGUUGUUCGGAAUUAUUGGGCGUAAAGGGUGCGUAGGCGGUUCCGCAAGUCCUGUGUGAAAUCUUCGGGCUCAACUCGAAGUCUGCACGGGAAACUGCGGGGCUUGAGUGUGGGAGAGGUGAGUGGAAUUCCCGGUGUAGCGGUGAAAUGCGUAGAUAUCCGGAGGAACACCAGUGGCGCAGGCGCUUCUGGGUCGACCCUGACGCUGAGGCGCGAAAGCGUGGGGAGCGAACGGG
rnacentral:rRNA from 1 species